rnacentral:lncRNA from 1 species
CGAGGCGCGCACCACGCGGCCCCUUCCUCCAGGCAUUCGCACCACCCCCCACUCCCGUUGCAUGCUGGGAUUGUAGUUGAUCGCCUGCGAUCAACGGCCGGAAGCGGCUAAAACUACUCCUGCCUGCAUACCCCGCAGGAGCAAACCGCGCCAUGUCUCCCUCCAGGGAUCCGCACCGCUCACAAUCCUGUUUAGUGCUGGGAUUGUAGUCCUGCGAGCCUACGACUAAUAGCUGGGUGCGGAUAAGAGACUACAGCUCCCCCCAUUCCCAGCAAAGGUCCCUCCUCCACCGAGCUCCUCCAGGCUUCCAGUGCAGUUCCGCCGUGCGGAGGGAAGCUUGGCUGUUCACAAACCUCUCCUGCCCGCGAGGAGACAGCUUGGCCAGGGCGGCUGAUCUCACCUUGUCAUUGUGACACGGUGUCUCCCCAACGUGCUGGCUUCAUGACUUGUGCCCAGAGUUUGAUUUUCCACAGACCAGGUAGAGGCCAAGAGCCUCUCACAGACUCUGCAGCAGGGUUGCUAUGAUUAACUCUUAAGUACUCCACAACUACACGCUUUUGAAACUGGCGUUGGCAUAGCGUUAGUUCUGUGCAGGGCGGACGCAGCAGGACAGAAUCUCCCUGGGCAUCUUUUCGGAGCAUCAAUUUUACUGCAAAAUUUUGAAAAAACAAAUUUAAUUGAUUUCCAAGGUUUGUCAAGGAGGACAGAAACUCAGAGCACCCUGCACUUGGGGAUCGGCACUAGGAGCUGCUCUCUGGAUGGGGAGAUGGGAGCUAGCAGCUCACAAUGGGGUCACAAGAAUAUUGGUUCUUCUUUUAUCUGAAGUGAGGAGCACCAGAGGACUGAUCACGGCAUAGACAUUGACUACAAGACUCUGAACUUGCUGGUUGAUUGGGCCAUAUGCCCACAACAUUGCUGAGGAGAAGGAGAUGAUGAAAUCCACCCAACAGAGGACCACAGAGAAACUUACCAGCAGCAGUAUGGUCUGGAUGGCCCGUUUCUCAGGGGAAGCUCCUGGGGAAGGACCAUUGCUGUGAAGGUGGUGGGAUCACCUCUGAGGCCUGAAUAAGAGAGUCACCAUGUAUGCAAUUAAGAACAGCAGUAUUCCUACCAGGAAAGCAUCCCUAAGUGUUGUCAGAAUAAGAAACGUGGCCCUGAGGAUGAAGCUCAUGGAGAAAACUGAGCAGUACUUACCUAUAUUCAGUACAUUUGUCUGGCUCACACUGGAAGCAGCUACAGUGUAGAAGAUCCUGUUACUACUGAAAGACAAGUUGAGGAACCAUAAGAAGAAGAAAACAUGGAUAAUGUAAUUUGAAGAUUUAUGUUUAAACCUUGCCAAUCAGGAGGUGCUGGGGCUGAUGGUGGUGGCCUGGAACACACUCAGGGGGCAGGUGGUGCAGAUAGAGAGGCCCCACAACACCCUGCUCAGGUGGAAAAGUGCCUUACACUUGAAGUCAUUCUGAAGUUCAAUGAUGCAAACAGAUUUGGAGACUGCAAUAACAGUGCAAUGAAGAAGUUCACUAUGUGGACGAGGGGCAAGGGACAGAUGAUCAAGUCAGUGGGUUUUAGUCUGUGAUACAGAAGGAGAGUGAAGAUGCUGAAGAGGAACAGAAAAGUAUUGACUGAGAUUCCAACAGCAACUUGUAAAACAAAGCAGCUUUUUAAUAACAUACAUGAUAUAUAUGUACAUUGUAGUGGCAAAGAGGAAACAUAUUUGUAUAUCUGAAAAAACAAGUUUAGACAUCUUCAGUGCUGUUCUAUAGUUAAAAUUAUCACAACUAUGAUUAUGUUUAUUUCUCCCAAUUAUUAAGACUUACAAUGUAAUAUAAAUUAUUAGAAAA